CGGUGGUUCUCACGGUGCUCAUACCCACUCUCCUGUUCUUCUCCCUUUCUUUCUCUCCCUCACCUAGGGUUAGAUUUUUUUUUAACGAAAGAUUGAGACUUGGAGCUGCGAAUCCGCCAGGAAUGGAGGCCCUUCCCUCCUAGUGUCCUCCGCGAUUUUGUUUUGAAUCAAUUCCUUGUAUCCCAGUGUUUUCCUCUUUUUGAAUUUGUUUUGGAGAUGUUUCUGUACUCUGGGAAGAGGUCUGGUCGAGCAACCCCUCUCCUCUUCUCUGUCUUGCGCAGGUCUUGAAUUCUUGAUGCAGAUCUAGUGGCGCUGGUUCGUGUCUUGUUUCCUCCCCUUGUGGCUUGUGGUUUUUGGUGCAGGAAAGAGUGCAAGGCAGCAGAGCUUUUGGCGUGGCUCUGGAGCAGCGUGGAGGACAACCACCCAACCAGGCACCCAGCGACAUUAGCAGCUGCACAGCACGCGCAGCAACGAGGAGGCCGCCCAGGCAGCUGCUAGCUCGGUGAGUGGAAGGUUGAACCACGCCUACAACAUGCUUGGUGGAAUGCCGCACUAGGCAAGCAGCUACAGCGCCAAGUGGAAUGACAGAGAAUGCCAAGAGAAGCAAGGCAAGAAGCAAGAGCCCUUGACUGCUGCGCCUGCUCUUCAUCAUCGUAAACAUUGUCAUUCACACUGAUGAGUUAUGAGGUAUAGCUAUAUGUGUGCUCUUCAACUAAGUUGACUGAUGAGUAUGUGAAUUCUGGGUGCUCCGUGGUUGAUACCUGUAUAUAUAGAAGAAAAAAACAAUAGCAUGGGAUCAAUACUUGCCAUACUUGUGACUUCCUUAAUUUCCUAGUAACGGUCAGCUUUAAUAACUCCACUGCUAAACAUGGCAUAGGUUCA